rnacentral:rRNA from 1 species
UGGCGGCGUGCUUAACACAUGCAAGUCGAGGGAGAACGGAGGGCUUCGGCCUUCUUAGUAAACCGGCGCACGGGUGAGUAACACGUAGGUAACCUACCUCCGAGUUCGGGAUAACCUGUCGAAAGAUAGGCUAAUACCGGAUAAGACCACGAUGGCUUCGGCCACUGCGGUCAAAGAUGGCCUCUAUUUAUACGCUAUCGCUUGGGGAUGGGCCUGCGCACCAUUAGCUAGUUGGUGAGGUAAUGGCUCACCAAGGCUACGAUGGUUAGUUGGUCUGAGAGGAUGACCAGCCACACUGGGACUGAGACACGGCCCAGACUCCUACGGGAGGCAGCAGUGGGGAAUAUUGCGCAAUGGGGGAAACCCUGACGCAGCGACGCCGCGUGGGUGAUGAAGGCCUUCGGGUCGUAAAGCCCUGUCGGAGGGGAAGAAGGACUCUCGUGCAAAUAGUUCGAGGGUUUGACGGUACCCUUAGAGGAAGCACCGGCUAACUCCGUGCCAGCAGCCGCGGUAAUACGGAGGGUGCAAGCGUUGCUCGGAAUUACUGGGCGUAAAGGGCGUGUAGGCGGUUUCGUAUGUCUGGCGUGAAAGCCCCGGGCUCACCUCGGGAAGUGCGUCGGAAACUGCGAGACUAGAGUCCC